GUGCUCCCUUCAGCAGCACAUAUACUAAAAUUGGAAUGAUACAGAGAAGAUUAGCAUGGCCCAGUGCAAGAAUGACAUGCAAAUUCAUGAAGCAUUCCAUAUUUUU
rnacentral:snRNA from 1 species